CAUCCAAUCCCAUGGGAUGCUCUAUGGGAUGAAGGCUUUGACUCCUCCUCCUCUCCAUAGGGAUCCCCAGGUCCAACAGGAGAGAACGGUCCCCCCGGUCCCAUAGGGAAGAGGGUAAGAUCCGGAUGAUCCCAAUGCAUCCCAUAGGGAUCAAUGCCCAUGGAUGCCCCAUCCCAUUGAAUCCCAUAUCCAUAGGGUCCAGCUGGAUCCCCUGGUCCCGAAGGACGUCAGGGGGAGAAGGGAGCCAAGGGAGAAGUGGGAGCUCCUGGAGCACCAGGGAAGACGGGACCAGUAGGACCACAGGGAGUGACUGGGAAGCAGGGACCGGAUGGACUGAGAGGGAUCCCGGGAUCUGUGGGAGAACAAGGAAAACCAGGAAGCACAGGACAGGCUGGACCCCCUGGACCAAUGGGUCCUCCAGGGCUCCCAGGCCUCAAAGGGGACACCGGAGCCAAAGGGGAGAAGGUGAGACCCAUCCAAUGGGGCUGCCCUACAUCUAUGGGGCUGCCCCACAUCUAUGGGGCUGCCCCCUAUCUAUGGGGCUGCCCCACAUCUAUGGGGCUGCCCCCAUUGGCUGACGCACUUAUGGGGCCCCCAACCCCAUUGGUGGCCUCCAUUGUCUCCAUAGGGCCACCCUGGUCUCAUUGGCUUAAUAGGACCCCCAGGAGAACAGGGGGACAAAGGGGAACGAGGCCUCCCUGGGCCCCAUGGAUCUAUGGGGCAGAAGGGGGAAACUGUGAGUACUUAUGGGGCAGAAGGUGCCCCCCCCCCCCAGCCCCAUAGAUGGGUUGUCCCCAUCACUUCCUAUCUCUUCCAUAGGGCAUCCCUGGUGCUACCGGACCCAU
rnacentral:lncRNA from 14 species